AUGCCUCGAUGGCGGCUCCGAUCUGGCCGGCUCGCCUGCGCGAUGGCUAUCGUGGCGGCGACCGCGGCCGCGGCAGCCGUGGGCGUGGCCGCCGGAGUAGGGGAAGCCGAGGCGGAGUUCGACUACCGGAAGCUAUCGGGGAUAAUAAUCCCGGGAUUCGCGUCGACGCAGCUGCGGGCGUGGUCGGUGCUCGACUGCCCCUAUUCGCCGUUCGACUUCAACCCCCUCGACCCCGUCUGGCUCGACUCCACCAAGCUUUUCUCUGCUCUAAAUUGCUGGCUUAAAUGCAUGCUGCUUGACCCUUAUAACCAGACGGACCAUCCAGAAUGCAAGUCAAGGCCGGAUAGUGGUCUUUCUGCAAUUACAGAGUUGGACCCUGGUUAUAUAACAGGUCCUCUUUCUUCAAUAUGGAAAGAAUGGGUCAAAUGGUGUGUAGAGUUUGGUAUUGAAGCUAAUGCUAUCAUCGCCGUUCCGUAUGAUUGGAGGCUACCCCCGUCGAUGCUUGAGGAGAGGGAUCUGUACUUUCAUAAAUUGAAAUUAACUUUUGAAAUUGCAUUGAAACUUCGAGGAGGGCCAUCUUUAGUUUUUGCUCAUUCCAUGGGAAACAACGUAUUUCGGUACUUUUUGGAAUGGUUGAAACUAGAAAUUGCUCCAAAGCACUACAUCCAAUGGCUUGACAAACAUAUACAUGCGUACUUUGCAGUUGGUGCUCCUAUUCUCGGAUCUACUGAAUCAAUUAGAGCUACUCUCUCUGGGACAACGUCUGGUCUUCCAGUCACUGAGGGGACUGCCCGGUUGAUGUUUAAUUCAUUUGCUGCUUCUUUAUGGCUCUUGCCAUUCUCAAAAUACUGCAAAGCUGAUAAUAUAUACUGGAAGAAUUUUUUUGAGGGAAAGGGAGGUUAUCCUCACAGACAACAAUGCGAUGAGAUGGAGUAUACUUCAGACUACUCUGGAUGGCCCACAACCCUCGUCAGUAUCGAGGUUCCUACAGUUCGAGGUGCGGAUGCGUAUCCAUCCAUUAUGGACCUAACAGAGGACAUAACAUCCAACAUGGAGUGUGGAAAGCCAACACUCUUGACAUUUUCUGCCAGAGAAGUUUCAGAUGGUACUUUGUUCAAAACUAUUCUGGAUUACGACCCACAGAGCAAAGCCCUUCUUCAUCAGCUGGAGAAGUACUACCAAGGUGACCCAGUUCUCAAUCCUCUCACUCCCUGGGAGAGACCGCCAAUAAAGAAUGUAUUCUGCAUAUACGGCAUUGAUUCUAAGACUGAGGUAGGAUAUUUUUUUGCACCAAGUGGCAAACCAUAUCCAGAUAACUGGAUAGUAACAGAUGUGAUUUAUGAGUUUGAACAGUCCCUACUGUCAAGAUCAGGUCAUUCUGUUUCCGGAAAGCCAAACAAUUCCAGUGGAGAUGGAACGGUAUCCUACAACUCCCUCUCAUUGUGCAAGCAAUGGCUUGGGCCAAAAGUGAACAUAACAAGAGCUCCACAGGCAGAACAUGAUGGAUCUGAUUUACAGACAAGCAUGAAUGCUGAGCAUUAUCAUGGUCAGGAUCUAUUUCCAAACAUGACAAGGGCUCCACAUGUGAAGUACAUAACCUACUAUGAAGAUGCUGAAAGUAUCCCAGGAUGGAGAACAGCAGUCUGGGAGCUUGACAAAGCAAAUCACAGGAAUAUUGUUAGGAUGCCGGUAGUUAUGCGUGAGUUAUGGCUUGAAGUGUGGCAUGACAUGCACCCUUAUUCGAAAUCAAAAUUUGUGACAAAAGCUUUCCGAGGUCCGUUAAGAAACGAAGAUUGCCACUGGGACUACGCAAAAGCUCGGUGUGGUUUUCCAGAAUUCUGUGAAUACAGGUACACGUUUGGUGACGUGCAUCUAGGAAUGAGCUGCAGGCUGAAAAAUUCAUCAACUACGCUCCUUCGGCAGUAUAUCUGAAACUAUUCUUUGUUUUUCUGAGUAACUUAUGAAUUAUCACUCACAUGUUUAUUAUACUGGACAUUCCUCUUUUGCUUGGCCAUGAAAUUACUCGGUGGGGAUGUAACAUGGACAAGUCGGGCUGAAGCCCCAUCUAGAAACAGUUAUGAUAUUUUCAGGACUGGUGUUGUUUGUAACACCAAACCUCCAGCCACAUGGAAGCCACUCGUAGCAGAAUUGACUCGAUCAUGCCAAAGUUUUGCCAUGAGAUCACGCUGGUGUGUACAGUAGGUUUGGCUGUUUGGGCAGCCAAUUGCUCACAUUAACGGUCUGAGAAAGGUACUCCGUGCUUCCGUGGUACUCCCUUGGUCUGGAUGUAUAGGGUGAAUUUCGUUUGGUUAAGUGUUUGACCAACAAUGGCUCCAUUGGCAUGUAAUUAGUGUGAGUACGAACUAUUGUCAUCAGAUUAGUACUUGCAGGUACUUAGUUGUUACUUCGCCGUGAGUUGGGAAAUCUGGUAUCUACAGGUGCGAAUCUAGCUAAACAUCUUUGCAGUUGAUUGAUUAGAUGCGUUUGCUUGAUCUCUACUUCUA